GUCACUGCGCACGCGCGGCGCCGCGGCGGGACUCGGUUUCAAACGGCGCGCGGAAGAGAGGGGCGAGCGGGCUGUACUAAGUGCAGCGCUCUGAGGGGGGUCUGGCUGUCCCUCCCCUUGGCUGCACGUGGCUCCUUCCGUAGAGAGGCGGGUGGGGGCGGAGCAGUGCUACUGCGCCUGCGCAUUAAGGCGAGCUUCUGGCUGCGCCUGAGGGGCGUGGCGGGCUUUGGUGCUCGGUGUUCCUCUUGAAGCAGCGGCGUAGCCGAUUAGGUUGAUUUUUGGUGGUUUCAUUUCUACGCUUCAUAAAUCUAUAAUUGCAGUACGGUCUGUCGGUUAAUAAUUGGAAGUGCACACCUAACUAGCUGGGAUGUGGAAGAGAUACCACCACUUGCCAGCACUGAACCUGAGAGAAGAGCUGUGUCGCAGAGAGCACAGUGCUAUCCACUGUUCCUAAGGAGAACUGGGAGUUCCCACUGAUUGGGAUGUGGACCUCAGUACACCGCCACACAUGAGCAGGGCUUGCAGAACAAUCUAUUACAAUAUGUCAGAUGCGAGCAAGUACUGUCAAGCAAGAUCCAUAGAGCAACUGAGAACACGGAUGCAGCAGCUUGUCUGUCAGGAUGACGCUGUCCUGACAGAAGAAAUUGCAAGAGGGUAGAGGCUUCCAUUUCCUCCUGGAUUUUAUCAGGAUCCACAGUCUGCUGUGUAACACGGUUCUGUCCACAAAAUGAGAGUGGAUCUCUAUAACAUCUCAUAGUCUGAGAAGGAUCGCUGUCUAGGAUUGCAGAAGAAGAGCAUUUGGGGUUCAUAUACAAGUUAGUGUAAAACUGGUUGGAGACCUGACCCACUUGUGUGUUUGAGGGAAGCAAAUGGAGAAAAGAGGACCUGGGGGAAGCUACUGGAGGAAACAAGUGGAGCCCAAAUCCUAGACUCAGCUAAAGCCAUUUCUUUUCAUUUUUCUUGGCAGUUUGCAUCUAUGCAGUGUAGGCCUGAUUCUGAUUCUGUAAAGUCAGUGUUUCAGUUUAGCCAUCCGUUCUUCUCAGCCUCCACAGAGACCUGUUUCCGUGUUCUGCAUUUGUACUGAAGAUGUAGAGAGUGAGUUACAGAGAUUGCACAUGAUGUACAAAUAAAUAGGGAAUUUUCAUCUGCUGGCUUUUUACAUUUUUUCUCACUCUAAGCUCACAAAAUGAUGGAAAAUCAGACACUUUGUGUUUGGAAUACUCACCAUCCCUCUUGUAUAUCUGUCCUAUAAAACAGACCUUUUCUGCAUUUAGUUCUCUUGCUGUGGUUGUCUGACCAUGAAAUCUCUGAACUGAGAUUGUCUAUAAUAUAUUGGGUUUGGGAAACAAGGAUGUGAAUUGUAACUAAGCAGUCUGGAUGAGGAGAGGAGGUACUGCCUGGUUUCUUCACCAGGCUCCUGAGGAAAACCCCCUUCAUGAAGAGUUGUAGAAUGAAAGCAAAGAGUUUUAUGAAAUAUGUAUCUUGCAAACAAUAAGUCGAUCACAGUGUUGCUUCAAGCUUUGCCACAUGAAACCUCACCACUUCCACAUGAUUAAUUGCUGCAUGUCAAAUCUCACAUAAAAGCCAGUAAUGCGUAGAUAUAUUUAUGCAAGGUGUGGCAGAGUAUAUAGGCAUAUCAGUACACUUACAUGUAAUGCAACUUUCAAUAUACAGGAAGGCUUUCUGAUGAGAUCUGAGCUGUCCUUUACAAAGUGAGAGAGAACAUUUUGUCUUAAGGUGAACUAAUGAUAUUUUUAUUGGUCAGUUGAGUCUGGGGUGGCCUCAUUAACAGGUGCUGCUUGCUAUCUGGAGAGAGGUGCCUGCAGUUGGCAUCAACAGGGUCACAGGCCUUUUCUGUGGUGGUGAAAGUGAGGAGAUUGGGGGAAUGAGAGUUGACAUCACUCCGGAAUAUAUUAUGAAUUAAUAAUUCUCUUGAGAGAGGAUGAGCAGGGGUUAGAGUGAAGAUGAGAAGACAAAGCAAAAGAAGCUAUAGAGGAAAGAAUUAACCCAAGCAAUUAUAAGCAAAUAAUAAAGGACGGAGGAAGCAUACGUUCCCUGGCUGAGGUCUUUAGGUUUGCUUUUGCAGGAUAUGAUGAACUGGCCUAAGGACAGUGAGCUCCACAGUAAAGGCACUGGCUUGACAGUUUAAUAGAAUAUAGGAAGCUUUCUGAAUGGAAUCUGAAGAUAGGUAAAUAUUAACAUAGUCGUCUUCUGUUCAGCUAUUUUGCCAACCUUUGUUUGUAUUCAGAAACUUUAGAUGAGAAAUAGAAGGCCCUAGGCACCAUUUCCUGCUAGCAGAUUGGUACCAACAGGGGUAGUAUGGGUGUCAGGAGUUGUGAGAAAGUCGGUGUGGUGAUUGAACCCUAAAGGAAUCUAACACUCCCUCGCAUUUCCCCCUCCCCACCACGUUCAGUAAGUGAGCACACAAAAGCUGUUUGGAAAACAAUCAGUUUAAAAUAAAACUUAAUUUUCUUGUUAUAUAAAUGCUAAGUGACAGCUAU